rnacentral:tRNA from 1 species
UCCUGUGCUCUUAGCUCAGUUGGUAGAACAUGAGACUCUUAAUCUCAGGGUUGUGGGUUUGGGCCCCACGCUGGGAA